CCUACGGGAGGCAGCAGUAGGGAAUAUUGGACAAUGGGGGCAACCCUGAUCCAGCCAUCCCGCGUGUGCGAUGAAGGCCUUCGGGUUGUAAAGCACUUUUGGCAGGAAAGAAACGGCCCUGGCUAAUAUCUGGGGCAACUGACGGUACCUGCAGAAUAAGCACCGGCUAACUACGUGCCAGCAGCCGCGGUAAUACGUAGGGUGCAAGCGUUAAUCGGAAUUACUGGGCGUAAAGCGUGCGCAGGCGGUUCGGAAAGAAAGAUGUGAAAUCCCAGAGCUUAACUUUGGAACUGCAUUUUUAACUACCGGGCUAGAGUGUGUCAGAGGGAGGUGGAAUUCCGCGUGUAGCAGUGAAAUGCGUAGAGAUGCGGAGGAACACCGAUGGCGAAGGCAGCCUCCUGGGAUAACACUGACGCUCAUGCACGAAAGCGUGGGGAGCAAACAGGAUUAGAUACCCUGGUAGUCCACGCCCUAAACGAUGUCAACUAGCUGUUGGGGGCUUCGGCCCUUGGUAGCGCAGCUAACGCGUGAAGUUGACCGCCUGGGGAGUACGGUCGCAAAUUAAAACUCAAAGGAAUUGACGG
rnacentral:rRNA from 1 species